AGGACGAACGCUGGCGGCGUGCUUAACACAUGCAAGUGGAGCGACGAACCAGGGCUUGCCCUGGGGCAGAGCCGCGAACGGGUGAGUAACACGUGGGUUACCUGCCUUGAUGACCGGGACAACCCGAGGAAACUCGGGCUAAUACCGGAUGUGCCCGCAAGGGGAAAGGAAGCUUCGGCCUCCGCAUCAAGAUGGGCCCGCGGCCCAUUAGCUUGUUGGUGAGGUAACGGCUCACCAAGGCUUCGAUGGGUAGCUGGUCUGAGAGGACGAUCAGCCACACUGGGACUGAGACACGGCCCAGACUCCUACGGGAAGCAGCAGUGGGGAAUCUUGCGCAAUGCGCGAAAGCGUGACGCAGCAACGCCGCGUGGGGGAAGAAGGCUUUCGGGUUGUAAACCCCUUUCAGUUGGGACGAAGCUUCUCCGGUGAAUAGCCGGAUGGAGUGACGGUACCUUCACAAGAAGCACCGGCUAACUACGCGCCAGCAGCCGCGGU
rnacentral:rRNA from 1 species